CGUGGGUGGAGUUGGCCCAUGCCCAUCUUGCCUCCCUUCAUCAUCCUCUGGUAAGUGAGGAGAUGGGAUCUCUUGGAUGGGCGAGAGGGUGUUCCAGUCGUCGUCGUCCAUAUGGACGCUGGUCUCUUCCUCCUGAAGACAGAGUUUCGGGUGAGCUAGCAAAGAAAGCAGCAGUGCCACCUAAUACUCGUAGACUAAAGUACUUCUUUUUAUAUCUAGGAACAAGCGUCGGAGUAAAUAUCAAAGUAGCAGCGGAAGCUGUCCAGCCGAAAGACAGAUCUGACAAAGCCGGUGAGGGGGGCAAG
rnacentral:misc_RNA from 1 species